rnacentral:rRNA from 1 species
CCUACGGGUGGCAGCAGUGGGGAAUAUUGCGCAAUGGGCGAAAGCCUGACGCAGCGACGCCGCGUGAGGGAUGAAGGUCUUCGGAUCGUAAACCUCUGUCAGCAGGGAAGAACGGUCACUGUGCUAAUCAGCAGUGAAUUGACGGUACCUGCAAAGGAAGCACCGGCUAACUCCGUGCCAGCAGCCGCGGUAAUACGGAGGGUGCGAGCGUUAAUCGGAAUUACUGGGCGUAAAGCGCUCGUAGGCGGUUUGUCAAGUCAAGGGUGAAAUCCCCGCGCUCAACGCGGGAAAUGCCUUGGAAACUGGCAAACUGGAGUGUGGGAGAGGGUAGUGGAAUUCCAGGUGUAGCGGUGAAAUGCGUAGAUAUGUGGAGGAACAUCAGUGGCGAAGGCGACUAUCUGGCACAUAACUGACGCUGAGGAGCGAAAGCGUGGGUAGCAAACAGGAUUAGAUACCCCUGUAGUC